GGGCCCGCACAAGCGGCGGAGCAUGCGGCUUAAUUCGAUGAUACCCGUAGAACCUUACCUGCCCUUGACAUACAACGAACCCUGAAGAGAUUUGGGGGUGCCGCAAGGAGCGUUGAUACAGGUGCUGCAUGGCUGUCGUCAGCUCGUGUCGUGAGAUGUUGGUUAAGUCCCGUAACGAGCGCAACCCUUAUUCUUAGUUACCAUCAGGUCGAGCUGGGUACUUUAAGAAGACUGCCGGUGACAAACCGGAGGAAGGCGGGGACGACGUCAAGUCAUCAUGGCCCUUAUGGGCAGGGCUACACACGUGCUACAAUGGUUGGUACAGAGGGAAGCAAAGCGGCGACGUGGAGCA
rnacentral:rRNA from 1 species